UACGGAGGGGGCUAGCGUUGUUCGGAAUUACUGGGCGUAAAGCGCGCGUAGGCGGACCUUCAAGUCGGGGGUGAAAGCCCGAGGCUCAACCUCGGAACUGCCUUCGAUACUGCGGGUCUCGAGUCCGGGAGAGGUGAGUGGAAUUCCUAGUGUAGAGGUGAAAUUCGUAGAUAUUAGGAAGAACACCAGUGGCGAAGGCGGCUCACUGGCCCGGUACUGACGCUGAGGCGCGAAAGCGUGGGGAGCAAACAGGG
rnacentral:rRNA from 1 species